UCUAAACGACUCUCGGCAACGGAUAUCUCGGCUCUCGCAUCGAUGAAGAACGUAGCGAAAUGCGAUACUUGGUGUGAAUUGCAGAAUCCCGUGAACCAUCGAGUCUUUGAACGCAAGUUGCGCCCGAAACCACUCGGUUGAGGGCACGCCUGCCUGGGCGUCACGC
rnacentral:rRNA from 1 species